AUGGUGAGCUACUUCGAGUGGGUGCAGAACAUCCAGGGGUUCAUAUGGGACGAGCAGAAGGUGAAUCGGGAGCUCAGAGAGGGGGUACUAAAUAUGAGCUUCUAUCUAAACUUUUGUCCGCGAUCUAUUUGUGACGACUUCUCUCAAGGCAGGAGCCACUUUUGUGUGCAUACUUCUCUUGAUUCGUUCUAUGUUGUCAAGUUCUUAUUCAUUUGGUGA
rnacentral:rRNA from 1 species